CCUACGGGAGGCUGCAGUGGGGAAUCUUCCGCAAUGGGCGCAAGCCUGACGGAGCAAUGCCGCGUGAGCGAAGAAGGCCUUCGGGUUGUAAAGCUCUGUUGUAAGGGACGAAAGAAUAAGGGAGUAACUGCCCUUAAAGUGACGGUACCUUACCAGCAAGCCCCGGCUAACUACGUGCCAGCAGCCGCGGUAAGACGUAGGGGGCGAGCGUUGUCCGAAAUUACUGGGCGUAAAGAGCACGUAGGCGGGUGUUUAAGUCAGGUGUGAAAGACCGCAGCCUAACUGCGGGGUUGCACUUGAAACUGAAUAUCUUGAGGGCAGGAGAGGUCAGUGGAAUUCCUGGUGUAGCGGUGAAAUGCGUAGAAAUCAGGAGGAACACCAGUGGCGAAGGCGACUGACUGGACUGACCCUGACGCUGAGGUGCGAAAGCGUGGGUAGCAAACAGGAUUAGAUACCCCGGUAGUC
rnacentral:rRNA from 1 species